GACGUAGCAAUCUGCGAUAAGCCUCGGGGAGUGGAUAAGCACACUUUGAUCCGAGGGUCUCCGAAUGGGGAAACCCCGCUGGGCGGCGUGCCGACCCGGUGACUCCCGCCUGAAUAUAUAGGGCGGGUAGAGGGAACGUGGGGAAGUGAAACAUCUCAGUACCCACAGGAAGAGAAAGCAACCGCGAUUCCGUUAGUAGUGGCGAGCGAAACCGGAACAGGCUAAACCGAGUACGUGUGAUAUCCGGCAGGAGUUGCGUAUUCGGGGUUGUGGGACUUUUCAGGCUGCUCUGCCGAGCAGCCGGCGUUACAAGAAGGUAUAGACGAACUGGAUUGAAAGCCAGGUCAUAGAGGGUGCCAACCCCGUAGUCGAAAUGCCUCCCUUGGCGCGAAGAGUAUCCCAAGUAGCACGGGGCCCGAGAAAUCCCGUGUGAAUCUGUCAGGACCACCUGAUAAGCCUAAAUACUCCCAGAUGACCGAUAGCGGACAAGUACCGUGAGGGAAAGGUGAAAAGUACCCCGGGAGGGGAGUGAAAUAGUACCUGAAACCGUUUGCUUACAAACCGUUGGAGCAGCCCUAGCAGCUGUGACAGCGUGCCUUUUGAAGAAUGAGCCUGCGAGUUAGCGAUACGUGGCGAGGUUAACCCGUGAGGGGUAGCCGUAGCGAAAGCGAGUCUGAAUAGGGCGAUUCAGUCGCGUGUCCUAGACCCGAAGCGAAGUGAUCUAUCCAUGGCCAGGUUGAAGCGACGGUAAGACGUCGUGGAGGACCGAACCCACUUAGGUUGAAAACUGAGGGGAUGAGCUGUGGAUAGGGGUGAAAGGCCAAUCAAACUUCGUGAUAGCUGGUUCUCUCCGAAAUGCAUUUAGGUGCAGCGUUGCGUGUUUCUUGCCGGAGGUAGAGCUACUGGAUGGCCGAUGGGCCCUACAAGGUUACUGACGUCAGCCAAACUCCGAAUGCCGGUAAGUGAGAGCGCAGCAGUGAGACUGUGGGGGAUAAGCUUCAUAGUCGAGAGGGAAACAACCCAGACCACCAACUAAGGUCCCAAAGCGCGUGCUAAGUGGGAAAGGAUGUGGAGUUGCCUUGACAACCAGGAGGUUGGCUUAGAAGCAGCCACCCUUGAAAGAGUGCGUAAUAGCUCACUGGUCAAGUGAUUCCGCGCCGACAAUGUAACGGGGCUCAAGCACGCCACCGAAGUUGUGGCAUUGACAUUAUUGGUAGGCCUUCGUGGUCCAGCCGUGUUGAUGGGUAGGAGAGCGUCGUGUGGCCAGCGAAGCGGCGGUGUGAACCAGCCGUGGAGGCUACACGAGUGAGAAUGCAGGCAUGAGUAGCGAAAGACAUGUGAGAAACAUGUCCUCCGAAAGACCAAGGGUUCCAGGGUCAAGCUAAUCUUCCCUGGGUAAGUCGGGACCUAAGGCGAGGCCGACAGGCGUAGUCGAUGGACAACGGGUUGAUAUUCCCGUACCGGCGAAGAACCGCCCAAGCUAAUCCAGUAGUGCUAAGUGUCUGAAUCCCACUGACGGAUCCCUUCGGGGUGAAGCGUUGGGCCUAGCGCACGACCCCAUUCUGGUGCGGUUAGCGUAUUAACAGGUGUGACGCAGGAAGGUAGCCCAACCCGGGCGAUGGUUGUCCCGGGGCAAGUGCGUAGGCCGAGAGAUAGGCAAAUCCGUCUCUCACAUAGGCUGAGACACGAUGCGGAUAUAAAGUGGGUGAUCCUAUGCUGCCAAGAAAAGCAUCGACGCGAGGUUCUAGCCGCCCGUACCCCAAACCGACUCAGGUGGUCAGGUAGAGAAUACCAAGGAGAUCGAGAGAAUCGUGGUUAAGGAACUCGGCAAAAUGCCCCCGUAACUUCGGGAGAAGGGGGGCCUUCGGCGUAUUAGGACUUGCUCCGAAAGCGUUUGGAGGCCGCAGAGACUAGUGGGUAGCGACUGUUUAUUAAAAACACAGGUCCGUGCCAAGUCGCAAGACGAUGUAUACGGACUGACGCCUGCCCGGUGCUGGAAGGUUAAGAGGACCGGUUAGCCGCAAGGCGAAGCUGAGAAUUUAAGCCCCAGUAAACGGCGGUGGUAACUAUAACCAUCCUAAGGUAGCGAAAUUCCUUGUCGGGUAAGUUCCGACCUGCACGAAUGGCGUAACGACUUCCCAACUGUCUCAACCGCGAACUCGGCGAAAUUGCACUACGAGUAAAGAUGCUCGUUACGCGCAGCAGGACGGAAAGACCCCGUGACCUUUACUACAGCUUGGUAUUGGUGUUCGGUGUGGCUUGUGUAGGAUAGGUGGGAGACUGUGAAGCGGUGACGCCAGUUACCGUGGAGUCAUUGUUGAAAUACCACUCUGGUCACUCUGGAUAUCUAACUUCGAACCGUAAUCCGGUUCAGGGACAGUGCCUGGUGGGUAGUUUAACUGGGGCGGUUGCCUCCCAAAAAGUAACGGAGGCGCCCAAAGGUUCCCUCAACCUGGUUGGCAAUCAGGUGUCGAGUGUAAGUGCACAAGGGAGCUUGACUGUGAGACUGACAGGUCGAGCAGGGACGAAAGUCGGGACUAGUGAUCCGGCAGUGGCUUGUGGAAGCGCUGUCGCUCAACGGAUAAAAGGUACCUCGGGGAUAACAGGCUGAUCUUGCCCAAGAGUCCAUAUCGACGGCAUGGUUUGGCACCUCGAUGUCGGCUCGUCGCAUCCUGGGGCUGGAGUAGGUCCCAAGGGUUGGGCUGUUCGCCCAUUAAAGCGGUACGCGAGCUGGGUUUAGAACGUCGUGAGACAGUUCGGUCCCUAUCCGCUGCGCGCGUAGGAAAUUUGAGAGGAUCUGACCCUAGUACGAGAGGACCGGGUUGGACGAACCUCUGGUGUGCCAGUUGUUCUGCCAAGAGCACCGCUGGUUAGCUACGUUCGGGAUGGAUAACCGCUGAAAGCAUCUAAGCGGG
rnacentral:rRNA from 1 species